UUUAAGUGCAACUAUAUGUUUCCGCACCUAACUUUGAUCGUCCGUCUUAUUUAAAUUUUUUUUUAUAAUUAGUAUUUUUUUUGUUAUGACAUGAUAAAACAUGAAUAACUUAUGUUUUAUUUUCUUUUCAAAAAUUUUUCAAAUAAGACGAACGAUUAAAGUUGGAACGCGGAAAACCAUGGCUGCACUUAAA
rfam:Oryza glumipatula chromosome 8, whole genome shotgun sequence.